rnacentral:rRNA from 1 species
AUUGAACGCUGGCGGCAUGCUUUACACAUGCAAGUCGAACGGUAACAGGCCGCAAGGUGCUGACGAGUGGCGAACGGGUGCGUAAUGCAUCGGAACGUGCCCAGUCGUGGGGGAUAACUACUCGAAAGAGUAGCUAAUACCGCAUACGAUCUAUGGAUGAAAGCGGGGGACCGUAAGGCCUCGCGCGAUUGGAGCGGCCGAUGUCAGAUUAGGUAGUUGUUGGGGUAAAGGCUCACCAAGCCAACGAUCUGUAGCUGGUCUGAGAGGACGACCAGCCACACUGGGACUGAGACACGGCCCAGACUCCUACGGGAGGCAGCAGUGGGGAAUUUUGGACAAAGGGCGCAAGCCUGAUCCAGCAAUGCCGCGUGCAGGAAGAAGGCCUUCGGGUUGUAAACUGCUUUUGUACGGAACGAAACGGCUCUGGUUAAUACCCGGGGCUAAUGACGGUACCGUAAGAAUAAGCACCGGCUAACUACGUG